rnacentral:rRNA from 1 species
CCUACGGGGGGCAGCAGUGAGGAAUAUUGGUCAAUGGACGAGAGCCUGAACCAGCCAAGUAGCGUGAAGGAUGACUGCCCUAUGGUUUGUAAACCUCUUUUAUAAGGGAAUAAAAUGUUGCACGUGUGGGAUUUCGUAUGUACCAUAUGAAUAAGGAUCGGCUAACUCCGUGCCAGCAGCCGCGGUAAUACGGAGGAUCCGAGCGUUAUCCGGAUUUAUUGGGUUUAAAGGGAGCGUAGAUGGGUUGUUAAGUCAGUUGUGAAAGUUUGCGGCUCAACCGUAGAAUUGCAGUUGAUACUGGCAGCCUUGAGUACAGUUGAGGUAGGCGGAAUUCGUGGUGUAGCGGUGAAAUGCGUAGAUAUCACGAAGAACUCCGAUUGCGAAGGCAGCUUGCUAAGCUGCCACUGACGUUGAUGCUCGAAAGUGUGGGUAUCAAACAGGAUUAGAUACCCGGGUAGUC